rnacentral:lncRNA from 1 species
GAAAAAACUUCAAUUUAUUUAAUGCAAUUACAAACAAAAACAUUAGCAAAUAGAAAACAAAACUUCAGCUUGCUUAAGUUUAGCAAUUACAAACAAAACUUCAGCACACUUGCUACUUCAUGUGAGGCACGUCUAUUAGAAUGCUGAAGUUUUGUGUGAAUGUCUUACUACUUCAGCCUCAUAUGCUGAAGUUACGCGAAAGGUGGGUAUAAAUACAAAUGCCCCGAGAGAAAUUGAAUCAACCUUGAAAGAAGUCUUUGGCCAUUUGUCAACAAAAGGGAAAAAGAAGUCUUUCUAUUGUAAGUACAUGAUUGGAGAUGGAAACAAAUACUAAGAACAUUAUAGUAGCAUUCAUUAGAGGCAUUAACCACUCUUUAGAUUUCGUGAUCAUUUUAACUUCUAAUACAUGAACCUGUAACUUCCAAACUAAACAUAUACUCAAAUCAGCAUGUUUUAGUAAAUCUGUAUGUUACAUUUAACUACUAAUAUACUCAAGGGGUCGUUUGGUAUGGGGUAUAAGCACAAUUAAUACUGGUAUAAAAAUUUAAUACCAGCUUAUACCUUGUUUGGUUACUAAAUUUGGAAUAAGUUAUCCCGGUGUUAAUUUUAACACUGGAAUAACUUAUACCUUGUAAAAGGUGGUGUAAUUAACACUGGUAUAACUUAUACAUUCUUCUUAGAAAUUAUGCAAUUGUUAUUCUUAAUACAACAUACCAAACAAUGAAUAAACAACAGUCCCAACAUAACUUAUACCGGCAUAACUUAUCCCAAUAUAACUUAUAUCGGCAUAACUUACACCGAUAUAAGUCAUAUUCCAACCAAACGACCCCUAACAGUAUAAAGAUAUUUUACAAUGUUUAGUGUAUGUUAAACCGUUGUAGUAGGUAACAUGCUUACUUUUCCUGUUACUAAUCCCAACUUUUACCAUCAAUAUCCGUAGUUAUCUUUUAGAUAACUGAUUUGUCCGCACUUCGCGCGGUAUAGAGAAAUAUUAUUAUUACUUUCUUUUUAAAAAAAUUAAUAUCAAGAUAAAAUUUGCAUAAACGUAGAGUUAGUUUCUCAAAUAGUCAUUCACCCUGAUGAAUUUACCUAGCAAAAUUAUUUUUCUUUAUUUUAGGACAAAAAAGUCAUUAACUAUUCAUUUGCUCCUCAAAAGUCAUACACCACAAUAAAAG